rnacentral:rRNA from 1 species
CCUAACGGGAGGCUGCAGUGGGGAAUAUUGGACAAUGGGGGCAACCCUGAUCCAGCCAUGCCGCGUGUGUGAAGAAGGCCCUCGGGUUGUAAAGCACUUUCAGUGAGGAAGAACGCCUGGUGGUUAAUACCCAUCAGGAAAGACAUCACUCACAGAAGAAGCACCGGCUAACUCCGUGCCAGCAGCCGCGGUAAUACGGAGGGUGCGAGCGUUAAUCGGAAUUACUGGGCGUAAAGCGCGCGUAGGUGGCUUGAUAAGCCGGUUGUGAAAGCCCCGGGCUCAACCUGGGAACGGCAUCCGGAACUGUCAAGCUAGAGUGCAGGAGAGGAAGGUAGAAUUCCCGGUGUAGCGGUGAAAUGCGUAGAGAUCGGGAGGAAUACCAGUGGCGAAGGCGGCCUUCUGGACUGACACUGACACUGAGGUGCGAAAGCGUGGGUAGCAAACAGGAUUAGAUACCCUUGUAGUC